CGUCUCUACUAAAAAUACAAACAUUAGCCAGGCGUGGUGCCGCGCACCUGUAAUCCCAGCUACUUGGGAGACUGAGGCAAGAGAAUUGCUUGAACUCAGGAGGUGAAGGUUGCAGUGAGCCAAGAUGAUGCCACUGCACUCCAGCCUGGGUGACAAGAGUGAAACUCCAUCAAAAAAAAAAGAGUGAGAGAGAGAAAGAAGAAAGGAAGGAAGGAAAGAAGGAAGGAAGAGAAAAAAAGAGACAGAAGAAAGGAAAGAAGAAAAAAAGGAAAGAAACAAGAAAGAGGAGAGAGAGAAAGGAAAGCCACAGGACAGUCUGGCACACAAGGAAGACAACUCAUGGCAGAAUAAUAAUAAUUAUUAUAAUAACAGUAUCAUACAUCAAGGACAAACCCAGCUGCCCCAAGCCUACUGCAAAACCCUGCGAGAAUUUGGGGUCAGAGCCAAAAUCGGGAGGGGAGAAGCAGAGGGUGGAAGAGGCCACUCGCCUUUCGCUCACCUGGCUGCGGCAGGGAGAUUUGUCACGGGCUUUGGAGAUCUUCACACCUGCAGCAGAGAGGGCCACAGUUAGUGUUUGCCUCCCACCUGGACCCCCUUCCUCCUGGGCCACAGCUGUUCCAGAUCAAGCCCCGAGGCCAGCGUCCCCUACCUGGAAGAGUGUCCAAAACCAGUCUCUGGGCCGCCACCGAGCUCACUAGCUUCCCCAGAUCCAGAGGCUGUUUCUCGCCUGGCUGUGGGGAGAGGUCAGCAGCCCGCGGUACAGGCCUCCGCCCGGCCCCGGCCCCGGCCCCGGCCCCGGCCCCGGCCCCGGCCCCGGCCCCGGCCCGGCCCCGCCCCGCCCCGCCCCGCGGCCCGGAAGCUCACCCGGUGCAGCACCACCUCUAGCGGGCUCAAGCCGUGCUUCUCCAGAAUGGGCUGCAGCGCCUCCUGCAGCCGCUUGGUGGGCUUGGCUGAGAUUCGUACCACGCGCUCCAGCGCCGUCAGCUCCAGCCUGCGAGGAACCCUCGGGCAGCAGAGGGCCGGAGGGCCGGCCCCCCGCCAAACCCUUCCCAGGACAAACGCGAGGGGGUGGAGCUUGAACUGCAGAAGGUGGGACUGGCUUGUAGGGGGCGGGGUUUGUCCCAGGGGCGGGGCUAGCACGAGGGGCGGGGCCUGGGGAGCCAGGUAGCUAGAACAGGGCCUGAAGGGAGCGUCAGGACCUGGGACCCAGACUUGGGGGCAGGACACUCACUCGAAGGUGAUCCUGUUUUCCAGCCGCACUUCCUGAUCCGCCAGCACGGUGCAGUCCUGAUCCAGGACCAGGGCCUUCUGUGGAUGCCAGGCAGGGUCUAAGAGUCCCUCCCCCAACCCCCAGCCAUCCCUGUGGGUCUGAGAACAACUUCACGCCCUCCCAUGGCCACC
rnacentral:lncRNA from 1 species